UCCUAGGCUUAGGAUGAACGCUAGCAGAAUGCUUAACACAUGCAAGUCGAACGAAUCUUCGGAUAGUGGCAGACGAGCGAGUAACACGUACUAACUUGCCCUUGAGUUGGGAACAACUAUAGAGAUAUAGCUAAUUCCCAAUAUGCUCACGAUGGUGAAAUCCCGAUGUGAGGAAAGAUUUAUCGGCUCAAGGAGAGGGGUGCGUCCUAUCAGGUUGUUGGUAAGGUAACGGCUUACCAAGCCUAUGACGGGUAGCCGGUUUGAGAUGAUGAUCGGCCGCGAUGGGACUGAGAUACGGCCCAUACUCCUACGGGAGGCAGCAGUGGGGAAUAUUGCACAAUGGACGAAAGUCUGAUGCAGCCAAUUCUGCGUGAAGGAUGAAGCAUUACGGUGUGUAAACUUCUUUUUGGUAGAAGACGAAUGACGGUAUACCAAGAAUAAGGGACGGCUAACUAUGUGCCAGCAGCAGC
rnacentral:rRNA from 1 species